rnacentral:rRNA from 1 species
AUUGAACGCUGGCGGCAGGCCUAACACAUGCAAGUCGAACGAGUGGCGGACGGGUGAGUAAUGUCUGGGAAACUGCCUGAUGGAGGGGGAUAACUACUGGAAACGGUAGCUAAUACCGCAUACCAUCGGAUGUGCCCUGAUGGGAUUAGCUAGGAGGUGGGGUAACGGUUAACCUAGGCGACGAUCCCCAGCUGGUCGGAGAGGAUGACCAGCCACACUUGAACUGAGACACGGUCCAGACUCCUACGGGAGGCAGCAGUGGGGAAUAUUGCACAAUGGGCGCAAGCCGGAUGCAGCCAUGCCGCGUGUAUGAAGAAGGCCUUCGGGUUGUAAAGUACUUUCAGCGGGGAGGCGUUACCCGAAGAAGAAGCACCGGCUAACUCCGUGCCAGCAGCCGCGGUAAUUC